UACGUAGGCAGCGAGCGUUGUUCGGAGUCACUGGGCGUAAAGAGUGCGUAGGCGGUUUUCUAAGUUUGGUGUGAAAUCUCCCGGCUUAACUGGGAGGGUGCGCCGAAAACUGGAAGGCUUGAGUAUGGGAGAGGUAAGCGGAAUUCCUGGUGUAGCGGUGAAAUGCGUAGAUAUCAGGAGGAACACCUGCGGUGUAGACGGCUUACUGGACCAUAACUGACGCUGAGGCACGAAAGCGUGGGUAGCAAACAGG
rnacentral:rRNA from 1 species